rnacentral:rRNA from 1 species
UACGAAGGGGGCAAGCUUGUCCGGAAUCAUUGGGCGUAAAGCGCGUGUAGGCGGUCCGGUAAGUCCGCUGUGAAAGUCGGGGGCUCAACCCUCGGAUGCCGGUGGAUACUGUCGGGCUUGAGUACGGAAGAGGCGAGUGGAAUUCCUGGUGUAGCGGUGAAAUGCGCAGAUAUCAGGAGGAACACCAGUUGCGAAGGCGGCUCCGCUGGGGCCGUAACUGACUCUGGAGGAGCGAAAGCUGGGUAGCGAACAGG